ACGGUAUGUACUGUCUGGCUGGGGCUUACCUCUUGGUGAGCUUGCAUGUCGUUUACUCGGCGUGUAAGGGAACCAGGACUUUUACCUUGAGAAAAUUAGAGUGUUCAAAGCAGGCUUAUGCCCGAAUGUGUUAGCAUGGAAUAAUAGAAUAGGACGAGCGUUUCUAUUUUGUUGGUUUCU
rnacentral:rRNA from 1 species